AGCUUGAAGAAUCCGCAAUUGUGGGUGAUACUACAUUUUUUUACUCUCUCACAAGACAACAAUUUUUGAAGGCUACCAAAUACCGAGACAUAAAUGGCCGCUCUCUCCUCCACUUGGCAGUUGUCAACGGUCAAACUGAGGUUAGGUGGUGAAAAUUCUAGUUGAGAAUGAAUUUGCGGAUUAUUUGAUCGAUGACCGGUGCAAAUUUGGUCAGACUCCUAUUCAUUUGGCAUCCAGAUGUGGCAAUGUUGAUAUUAUUCGUUUACUAGUCGAUAAUGGAACGAUAUCACCAUUUGUUCAAGAAGAUACCGACUCAUUCCAUAGUAGAAAUAAUGGAAAUCCUUGAUAACACGGAUAUGAUUUGAAGCUGGCUGUCAACCCACCAGUUGUAGUUCUGCAACAUUUGUAUACAAACCAUGGUGGAUUGGUGGUUUCACAAGAAGCAAAUGCAUUUCAGCCGGAAUUUGGUCAUUAUAAACUUGAAUGGAAAAGAAGUGCUCUAGCACCACCUAUAGAGAGGUAUUAUGGGGCUUGAAUAUGCCUCGCUGGGAUGAGAUGAGAGUGGAAUAUUAGAGAGAACAGUUCGUAUAAUAGCAAUGAGCCAAGACUUGCGAUUGACAUUUUUAAAGCACUCCAAAGUAAAUUGAGGAUGUGUCGGCUUUUUUCUUUCCAUAUAUCCAUUGCUUUUGAUGAGCUGAUGUCAACAUAGAAGAUAUUAAUGAUGAAACUGCUCUUCACUGUGCUGCUUUGAAGGGAUGGGUGCAUAUUGCUAAAUUUUUGGUUUAUCAUAGUGCAAACGUCAAUGCUAGGGACAAGGUUCGUAACCUACUUUAAGAACCUGCACAUGCUAUGAACAUGGAAACACGCCAUUGCAUCAUGCAGCUUGUAUAGGAAACUUAGAGCUGUGCGAAUUGCUCCUUCGAUUUGGGGCUGUGAUCCAUGCCCGUAACACAAUUGGUCAAUUUCCUUUGGUGAUAGCUGCCCAAUAUGGACA